GUAUACAAGAAAAGGUUAAAAUAAGCAUGGCCAUGAAUCUGAAAAGAUACUGAUUAUAAACCCAAUAACCUUUAAUAAUAUUAAACUGUUCUGCUGCAAAGCACUAUGCCUAGAUAUCCAAAGAUCAGGAAUUGAAAUUUAAAACUGAACAUAAAAUAGAUAGAAAAAUACAGUUAUCCUUCUUAUGAUCAACCAGAUAGUAAGAGUAAAGGAAACCAUAAUGCUACAUUUGGCUUGAGGGAGAAAGGAUGAGGAUAGAAACCUGAUGGCAAAAAGGAAGGGAAGACCAUUGAACUUUGAAGCCAUUCAGUUUGAGGAAGAAGCAAGGAAGUAAGGAAAAGAGAGAGAUACCCACUUCUUUCAAGUCCAAGCAUUUACACUCACCCAAACAAGAGGGAUAAGAAGAGAGGGUUUCCUAUUAUUACCGUCUUUUCUUUUGUAAAAUUUUUAAUCCAACAGAAUCAUAUAACACUGGUUUUCUUGUCUAUAAAUUAAAUGAGAUUUCACAUUCGCUCCUCUGACCUUGAAUUUAACAAAACCUGAAAGUUGUUAUCCCCAUCCCUCUCUUUCCUCCCUAUCUUUUCUCAUCAUUUUCCUCUUUUCCAACUAAAGAUAGUGUUAAAUGUCUAAGAGGUAUCACCA
rnacentral:misc_RNA from 1 species